rnacentral:rRNA from 1 species
UACAGAGGUCUCAAGCGUUGUUCGGAUUCAUUGGGUACGGUAAAGGGUGUGUAGGUGGCGCGCUAAGUCGGGUGUGAAAUUUCGGAGCUUAACUCCGAAACUGCAUUCGAUACUGGCGUGCUUGAGGACUGGAGAGGAGGACUGGAAUUCAUGGUGUAGCAGUGAAAUGCGUAGAGAUCAUGAGGAAGACCAGUGGCGAAGGCGGGUCUC